rnacentral:rRNA from 1 species
AUUGAACGCUGGCGGCAGGCCUAACACAUGCAAGUCGAACGAGUGGCGGACGGGUGAGUAAUGUCUGGGAAACUGCCUGUUGGAGGGGGAUAACUACUGGAAACGGUAGCUAAUACCGCAUCCCAUCAGAUGUGCCCAGAUGGGAUUAUCUUGUUGGUGGGGUAACGGCUCACCAAGGCGACGAGCCCUAGCUGGUCUGCGAGGAUGACCAGCCACACGGGAACGGAGACACGGUCCAGACUCCUACGGGAGGCAGCAGUGGGGAAUAUUGGACAAUGGGGGCAAGCCUGAUGCAGGCAUGCCGCGUGUAUGAAGAAGGCCUUCGGGUUGGAAAGUACUUGCAGCGGGGAGGCGUUACCCGCAGAAGAAGCACCGGCUAACUCCGUGCCAGCAGCCGCGGUAAUUC